rnacentral:rRNA from 1 species
ACUUUCAACAACGGAUCUCUUGGUUCUCGCAUCGAUGAAGAACGCAGCGAACCGCGAAAUGUGGUGUGAAUUGCAGACAGUGAAUCAUUGAAUCUUUGAACGCACAUUGCACCCAGUGGCAUUCCACUGGGUAUGUAUGGGUGAGCGUCGCUA